rnacentral:rRNA from 1 species
AUUGAACGCUGGCGGCAGGCCUAACACACGCAAGUCGAGCGAGCGGCGGACGGGAGAGUAAUGCCUGGGAAUUGCCCAGUCGGGGGGGAUAACAGUUGGAAACGACUGCUAAUACCGCAUACGAGUGGAUCGCCCAGGUGGGAUUAGCUGGUGUGUGAGGUAAUGGCGCACCAAGGCGACGAUCCCUAGCUGGUCUGAGAGGGUGACCAGCCACACUGGAACUGAGACACGGUCCAGACUCCUACGUGAGGCAGCAGUGGGGAAUAUUGCACAAUGGGGUAAACCCUGAUGCAGCCAUGCCGCUUGUGUGAAGAAGGCCUUCGGGUGGUAAAGCACUUUCAGCGAGGAGGCGUUACUCGAAGAAGAAGCACCGGCUAACUCCGUGCCAGCAGCCGCGGUAAUUC